AGUUUUUGAUUUCGGAUUUGAAAUAAGCUACAAUCGAUUUGGGUGUAAUUUCUUUUCUGUAAUUAGUUUUGGAGUCGCUAUUGACUUUUUGAAAAGGAACUUCUGCCUCGCCGAUUACUUUCGUUUCCCAUGAGCUUUAAAAUGAUGUUAUUUUAUGGAUUAUAAAGCUUAUGGGUCGUGGGGGAUGGCUUAUAAUCACUUCAAAUGGCAUUUAGGAUGCUAUGUUCGUAUCUCAAAUAAUCAACAAACAUUCUUCAAUUGUUGAUUUCAUCCUUAUUAGGUAGAUAAUCCCAUCCAAAAUUGAAAUUGAUGUAACCGAUAUCCCAAAUAAUCAGGGGCAAAGUGAUUUGUAUUCCCGUUCCUUCUCUCCUGCAAUAUUAUCGCUCAUAGGUUUUCUUUUAUCAUCGCCUCCAUUCUCAUUUGGACCCUCGAUUCCUAUCAUUGGUUGGUGUUAAUCUUUAUUGUUUUUUCUUUGGAAAUCAUGAGGUUUGACAUUUAGUUUUUCCAAUUCCACCCUUCCCCCUUCGGCAAUUGCAGAUUCUAAGUGUCUAGGUUUUUAGGUUUUAAAGACUUCAUCAUCGUUAUGCAGGAUUCACUUGUGCUAAAACAAACUUUUGAUUGGUGAUGAUGCUCGGACGUGGAUGAUCCAUGACUCUAUAUGUGCAGUUAAUAUAUGCAAAUUCUGUUAAUUUGAACACUUUAUAGACGGGGAGUAACUUACAUGCACACAGUGGAUUUUGACGAAGCAAGAAGAAAUUUCAACAAAGAUUCACCGGAUCCCUUAGCAAACUCCUUACUACAACAACAAUUUCAUGGAUAAUUCUUGGAAGUCGCCCGACAUCUACGGGAGAAUAUGGAUGGUCAUGAACGGCUUAUGCGAGGUCAACGAUUUCUCAACAUUGGAUCUCAAAAUCAUUGUAAGUGUUUUUUAUUUCAAUAAAACUUAAGUUAUAUGGAAACUACAAGAGUUAGACUUUUGAAAUAUAUUGUAUCAGAAUGUGUAACAUCUAAAUGAAAUUUUGUAUGAGUGUCAUUUUAGGAGAACAAUGUUUAUUAGGUAUGACAUCAACAAGUGUAUAUUCA